CUAACAUAAUUGUCAAUUCGUUCAUGUCUUUUACGACAUAAAAAACAAGAAAAUAAAAAUUAUUGAAAAGAAAAUUACGUUAUUCAAUAUUCGUUCAAUUCUUAUAAAAUAAAUUAUAAAAAAGUGCUAUUAAAUUUAUCCAAACGAAAUUCAAUAAGAAAGAAAUUCGGAAGCAUCAAAGGACUACGAUCUAUCGCAGUAUAUAUCGUUGUUCGAAGGACGACCCGUCACGUCGAAAGAAUCGACUUUGCUUAUUUAAUUCUCGAACGUCGACGUAAUCAAUUCCCACUGUGAAUACCGAAAGCCAUUUUUGUAAGGAUAUGUUCCCUUUAGAGAGAUACUAUCCGAAAGCCGAGAUUUUAUCUCGGGAAAAGAGUUUGCGAACGAGUCGCGUAUUUUGGAGAAAUUGAUUGGCCGACGAGAAGAAAGAGAAAGAAGAAGUCUCACGUGGUUCAUCGAAAGAACGCCAAAAGAGAGAGAGAGAGAGAGAGAGAAGAGAGGAGUGGGGGAAGAGAGACGAGUAGUGGACGAUGACAAAGGCUGAUGGUGGGAGAUUAAAACAAUGCCGUCGUCUCGGUUCGAAUAACGCGGGUGUGACAGGUCUUCCUACCUUCACCAGAAAACAGAUUCAGCUACGAGGAUGGACCUUAACGAGGCCUCUCUAAUAAAUAACCGUCCAGUUCGAGUUUCUCCUUUUCCUCUUCUCCCCCUCCAACAUCAGCUUAACUCUCCUCCCUUCUUCGUACUCCGUUAGUUUCCUUCGUGUUGUCUUCUCUUCUACUUCUCUCGUCUACGUCUUCGUCUCUGUCUACGUCUACGAUUUGGUUCCAUACGAAUGGUAGACCAAAGGGAUGGACCCAAAACCGGCCCUCGAAGAUGGAUGUGUUUCAUGGCGCCGCCGUCACCUAGAAAGCCCUUUCCAACGGACUUCCAGUUGAACUUACCUUCGGAAAGAGGAAGAGUAGCGAAAACGACGGCAACAUUUUCAUCUUUGGAAGAGAAGAAACUCGAACGCGGGAUCGUCGUUCGUGUCCUCAAUAUAUACCUGGCUCGCUGUUAACCCCAAGGGUUUCUCUUAUCUUCCACCCGAUCUUCUUCACGCAUAUUAUACUACGUGGAAAACAGUAAGAGUAAAAAAAGAAGAAGAAGAAGAAGAGGAGGAAAAGGAAACGAAGAGAGGACGCACAAGAUGUACACAUACUAGCGACGGAAUUCUCUUGAGUUCUGUCGCGCGAAUAACAGGAUCAGGUUACCGUCUUGGAAAGGAAAAAAGAAUCUAAAAAAAAGAAAGAUAUAUAUAUAUAUAUAUAUAUAUAUAUAUAUAUAUAUAUAGAGAGAGAGAGAGAGAGAGAGAGAUGAAAAAUAAAAUAAAGAAUAAGGGAUAUCCUAAGUGUGGUGGUGUCUCUUGAAGAGAAUUUCGAACGGCGACAUGGCGCGGCAAUUUGAUUCAAAAAGAUUCGAGAAAGUAUACGAGGGAGGAAGUUAGGAAGGGUUGAUCGUUCAUCGUUUUUCGGUGAAUUAAACUUCAACUCUCGAUGAUCCUUCUUUACUUAUUCCCUUCCCAAAAAAAAAAAAAAAAGAAAAUAUCAGGAUUCGAUAAAGGUCUAGAUACCUACUUAUUUUUUCUUUUUUUGUUUUUUUUUUUUUUUUUUUUUUUUUUAUA